AAACUAGGAUUAGAUACCCUAUUAUUAAAAAAAUUAAAUAAAUAAUACUAAAAUAGUAAAUAAUUUAUUGAAACUUAAAUAAAUUGGCGGUAUUUUAGUUCAUUCAGAGGAAUCUGUUUAUUAAUUGAUAAUCCACGAAUAAAUUUACUUAAUUUAUUAUUUUGUAUAUCGUUGUUAUAAAAAUAUUUUUUAAUAAAAAUAAUAUUUUAAAAUUUUAAAAAGAAAUUAAAUCAGAUCAAGAUGCAGAUUAUAAUUAAGAAUAUAAUGGAUUACAAUAAAUUUAUUUAUAAUGAAUUUUAAAUUGAAAAAUUUAAUUGAAAGUGGAUUUGAAUGUAAUUUUAUUUAAAUUAAUAAAAUGAUUAAUAAUUAAAAUAUGUACAUAUUGCCCGUCGCUUUCAUAAAUAAAUUGGAAUAAGUCGUAACAUAGUA
rnacentral:rRNA from 1 species